GCAUGCCUUACACAUGCAAGUCGAACGGCAGCACGGGUGCUUGCACCUGGUGGCGAGUGGCGAACGGGUGAGUAAUACAUCGGAACAUGUCCUGUAGUGGGGGAUAGCCCGGCGAAAGCCGGAUUAAUACCGCAUACGAUCUGAGGAUGAAAGCGGGGGACCUUCGGGCCUCGCGCUAUAGGGUUGGCCGAUGGCUGAUUAGCUAGUUGGUGGGGUAAAGGCCUACCAAGGCGACGAUCAGUAGCUGGUCUGAGAGGACGACCAGCCACACUGGGACUGANACACGGCCCAGACUCCUACGGGAGGCAGCAGUGGGGAAUUUUGGACAAUGGGCGAAAGCCUGAUCCAGCAAUGCCGCGUGUGUGAAGAAGGCCUUCGGGUUGUAAAGCACUUUUGUCCGGAAAGAAAUCCUUGGUUCUAAUAUAGCCGGGGGAUGACGGUNCCGGAAGAAUAAGCACCGGCUAACUACGUGCCAGCAGCCGCGGUAAUACGUAGGGUGCAAGCGUUAAUCGNAACUACUGGGCGUAAAGCGUGCGCAGGCGGUUUGCUNANACCGAUGUGAAAUCCCCGGGCUCNACCUGGGAACUGCAUUGGUGACUGGCAGGNUAGA
rnacentral:rRNA from 1 species